GUGCGCUGCUUCUGCUUCCGGUCGAAGCGCGGGUCUUAGACCGCGACGCGGGAAGCAACCUCAGGUUGGUUGGAGGGGCCGGGUGAGCCGGAGUGGUGUCCGGACCUGCGCCCCCGAGCCCUCGGACUAAGCUGGGCGGCCUCUGAGGGGCGCCGGGCGGAGAGCUGUCCUUACGACAGUGGCCGGAAGGGCGGCGUUUUGCGGCGGAGCCCGAAGAAGAGAGAGCGGCCUCCGCGAAGCCGGGCCGUCCGAGGAAGAAGACCCUUUAACUGAUUUUGUCCCAGACUCGACCGGCUCUCCGUUGUCAGUAGUGCUGCUGUUGCGGCAUCCAACUCAGGAGCACAGUCAUUCCUAGAAAAGCAUGAUGACUGUAGACCUGAAGGUGGCGGAGCACUUGAGCCCUCAAACCAGGCCUCUGUGGGAGGGCAAGGAACCUGUGACAGCGAGCGCCAGUCAGCGUAAGAACUAUGCCCCACAGCCAGCCAGUCUUAGUCCUGAGAAGUCUCACCAGCACUUCCGGAGUUUCCUCUAUCAUGAGGCAGCUGGACCCCGUGAGGCUGUUGUCCAGCUUCAGGAAUUAUGCCGCCAAUGGCUGAGGCCAGAGAUUCAUUCAAAAGAGCAGAUCUUGGAGCUGCUGGUGCUAGAGCAGUUUCUGACCAUUCUGCCCAGGGACACCCAGACCCAGAUAAAGAAGCACCAUCUACAGAGCAUCGAGGAGGCUGUGGUCCUGGUGGAACGCUUGCAGGGGGACUCUAGUCAAAGGCAGAAUGGGGUUGCAGUCCAUGAGCUGGCAAAGGCGGCCGUGCUCUUGGGAGAAACAGCAGAGGCCUCGGGCUUCAGGCCGAAGUCAGCAGAGUCCCAGCCAGUGGGAAUGUCCCCGGAGGAAGAAUUUGGGGGUGUACAGCAGGGCCUACAGGAACCGCUGAGCGGGAGCAGGCCCACAGAGACGGAGCCCGUGUGUGAGAGCGCAGUGCCUGCUCACCAGAUCCUAGCCUUUCCUGAACAGACAAACAGCAGAGACUGGACAGUGGCACCUGAGCUCGUCUUGCCCGAGGCCCAGAGCUUGUUGACAUUUGAAGAAGUAGCCAUAUAUUUUUCCCAGGAGGAAUGGGAGCUACUGGAUCCCACUCAGAAGGCCCUCUACAAUGAUGUAAUGCAUGAAAACUAUGAGACUGUCAUCUCUGUAGCAGUGCCUGCUCACCAGAUCCUAGCCUUUCCUGAACAGACAAACAGCAGAGACUGGACAGUGGCACCUGAGCUCGUCUUGCCCGAGGCCCAGAGCUUGUUGACAUUUGAAGAAGUAGCCAUAUAUUUUUCCCAGGAGGAAUGGGAGCUACUGGAUCCCACUCAGAAGGCCCUCUACAAUGAUGUAAUGCACGAAAACUAUGAGACUGUCAUCUCUCUAGCAUUGUUUGUGUUCCCCAAACCUAAAGUGAUCUCCUGCUUAGAACAUGAGGAAGUGCCGUGGAUUCAAGGAUCCCCACAGUUCAAGGACGAUAGUAGAGAUGUGCUUCCAGAGAUAAUGCUGAAAAAUGACCCUGAUGAUCAUCAAGCUAUGUAUCUUUCUGACUUAGAAAUACAAGCACCAGGAAAUGCAGUAUCAAAAAAAGCUAGAGCAGAUGUUCCCCAGAAAACAACGGGCAGAGAAACUCAUGGUGAUGUACAUAGGUUGGGGAAAUGGCACCAAGAUUUUCCAGUGAAGGAAGGAAAGAAUCUCUCAAACUGGUGGGAAGAAGAGCUGCUGAAACUUAUGGAGCUUCACAAGAAGGAACGUGCAGGGGAGAAGGCUUUUAAAUGCCAGGAAUGUGGGAAAAGCUUCAGAGUUAGCUCUGACCUUAUUAAACACCAGAGAAUUCACACCGAAGAGAAACCGUAUAAAUGUCAGCAGUGUGAUAAGAGAUUUAGGUGGAGGUCAGAUCUUAAUAAGCACCUAACAACACACCAAGGAAUAAAACCAUAUAGAUGUUCGUGGUGUGGGAAAAGCUUCAGUCAAAAUUCACAUCUCCACACACACCAGAGAACUCACACUGGAGAGAAGCCCUUUACAUGUCACGAAUGUGGGAAGAAAUUUAGUCAGAAUUCGCACCUUAUUAAACACCGGAGGACCCACCUGUAGCCCUGCAGGAGGAGCUUCAUUGUGUUCUCAGGACUUUUUCGAUGGCAGAAACUUUGACAGCAGUGAAGGAUGCAUGACCAGUGGCCUGAGACUGAAGAGAUAAUGAAACAGAGCUUGACACUAAAGUUAUGAAAAACACAAAGUUACAAAGCAUGAAGAAUUUACACCACUGGGAAAUUUGGUGAUAGAAGCAUGUUUCACAGAAAAGAAUCAGGGUUGACUGUGGAGGGGAAAGGAGAAGAUCCCAGUGUUUUGGCAACACCAUUCUCACUUGCUGCCAACAUCUGCCACGGCGAACACUACCUCGCCCGAGAGUUGAGGAAACGGCCCUUCACUUGUACAAAGCUGACACCCCAGGAAACAUCGCCCACCUUCAGAGCUCACGUGCACCCCGGGGUCAAGAACAGGAACCGCCAGUCCACCCAAGAAAGCAGAUAACAACUCUAAAACCUGGAUGGAGUAGAUCUAUGACAGCAGGGAUCUGGAGGAGAGCACCAGAACUCAAAGUACCAUGGGACUAAUGACUUACAGAAAAGCUGGAAGCGUGAUAUAAAGGACUUUGAUCUGCUAGAUCGUCUGAGAGGAAGCAGACAAAACAACACGCUGUCUCCCCCAAAUAUCCAUUGAUGGAGUAAGAGAAGGCGCCCUGACGGAGACUUGGGGACAGUGCCGAGAGGUUCAGAGCAUUAAAGCCAAGACGAGAUGAGCAGCAGGACGGUGAGAAGGAUGGAGCAGAUGGUGGUGAAAGCGGGGAUUCGUCCAAAAUGAAGUCGGUGAUGAGCUGAGCAGGGUCUAGCCCAGGACCCCAGAGGCGCUGGGCCGUUCCUAAGCUGACUGGUAAGGCAGCCCCUGAGAGAAAGGGCAGAAAUGAGGUAAAAGAGGAAAGCACGUGCAGCAGGAGGCCUGCAGGGCCCAGCUCUGGUUUUGGCUGUGACCACCCAUCCACCACCUCGGGCUGAGGAACCACAACAGGUGUGUGAAAAGGGUGACGGUCUCUAGGCCUUGACCAGUUGCUCUGGGUUGUGUAUGUAAGUGUUUGAUCCAUUCUAUGGAGGUGGUUAGGAAUCCUUGGGGGGAAAAUAGGUCCAUUGAAAAAUUGUAUCAAUUAGCUAUAAUGUUUCAGUGAUGAAGGGAGGUUUAUACACCCAUGGACAGCCCCAAGGUUAAAUGUACAGGGGAAGACUGCCUUUUAAUGGAUGCCUGAAGGACUGCAAUAAACCAGAGGUCUAAUUACACCUCAGAGGAAAUCAA